AUGAUAUCAUCAACAAAAAUCGCGACCCACAUUAUUUCCAACCCUAUCUCUAACUUCUUAUCUAAUUUUUUCUCUCUCACCAUUCUGCUUAUGUUUUCGUCGGCGGCAUUCUUACGAUUUCACUGAACGCGAUCUUCUUGCUGUCUUUGCUCAAUAUGGCGAAAUGGUGGAUGUUAAUCUUGUUAGAGAUAAGGCCACUGGAAAGUCCAAAGGUUUUGCAUUUGUGGCACAACUCUAGCCCGCAUUCUCUGAUUUGAAGCAGGUUCGAUCGAUUUCUGAGCCAAUCACCGUCGCAUGUUUUCGUUUUAGGAAGUAUGAUAGAUAGAUACUCUUGUUUGUCCAGCUCAGGAUGCACUCUUCCGGGUGCAUGACAGAGUGAUUGCUGAAGAUGCAGGUGCUGAUGAUGAGCCAGAUGGAAAUCAACAUGUUACUGCUCGGUUGCUUGUUCCCUCUGAUCAGAUUGGGUGUAUUAUUGGGAAAGGUGGUCAGAUUGUUCAAAGCAUCCGCAGUGAAACUGGUGCUCAGAUUCGGAUUCUGAAAGAUGAUCAUCUGCCCACAUGUGCGUUGUGCACAGAUGAACUUUUGUAGGUAAUGCUGAAAUGUUUUAUUUAGUUGACUGCUGUAGUAGAGAUGUUACCGUCAUAGUUAUCAUGUCCGGGUUAUAUAUUGUCCACAUUUGUGUUUGCAAGCAAAAUAGCUCAGGUAAUGUUUCCUUUUACAAUGAUUGUCCUCUUUCACUUAUCUUUUUGUGCAUGAGAAUGGCUAAAUUUUAGUCAGCGAAAUUUUGAAAGCAUGAGAUUGUGGGGGCAUUCUAGGAGCUUCACUUGGAACUGCUCUUUAUGCUGAGUUCAAUUUUAUUUAGUCGCGAAGAGAUUUCUUUUUGUAAGGUUCUGGGGCCUUCUUUUACACAAUUACAUCAUUUUGUUGUUUGAGUUGAUGAUGUAAGGUUCUAGGGCCUUCUUUUACACAAUUACAUCAUUUUGGUGUUUGACAAUCAACUGGAACACAAUGUGGAAAUUAUGGUAAGUAUGCAGGUUUAUUGAUGUUGUAAAUUGUCAUUAGUGCAAUUGUUGAGUUGACCAAGUAUGACUUUUCAGGGGCUAACGGUUAUAUAGUUGCUUCGGUUCCUUCUAAUUACAUUUAGUUGCUAUAAUUACAUUCGAGAGUUAAGGAUUCUCCCAGAGUAACUGCUAUAAUUAUAUUGCUGCCUUCUAAUUACAUUUAGUUGCUUUUUAUAGACUUAGAGCUACUUCUUAAGCAAGUAAGAUAACAGAUUUGUUUCCCACUAAAUGUCUAGCAAUAUUCUAGCUGACACAAGUAACAGAAAGUUAGGAGAGUAAUCUAGGUGGCAGCAUUUCCUUUCUUGCCCUUUCUCACAUAUGUGAUGAUUGGCGUUGUAGUGGUGGCUUGAUUCUCUGCAACAUCCUGACCAGAUAAUUAGAGAAAAUGGCUUUUGUAUACCAAUAGUCUGAACCUACACAUUUAACAUUUAACAUUUAAAUUAGUCAUAUUGUAUUAGUGGAGAGUAUGCUUCCUAGUCUCCAAUUGAUGUGUUAGAAGAUUGUACUGGGAUUUGUCUAGGUACUAGACAGGCUUUGUGCUUAAAUGAGUAUACAAGCGGACUUCAUUUUAGAUCUUUUCAUCUUUGCUUCACAUUUCUGGUCUAUGUUUUAUAAGACGGAUCUGAACUGUUUUUCCUCUUGGGACAGGCCUGUAAAUUUACAUCUACUGAAAUGUUGCUUGUCUUAGUUGAAGCAAGUGUAGUUGGUUUAAGUUGUUCAUUUAAUUUUUGUUAAUAAUUGUUUUUUUCUGGUUAAUUUCAUUAAUUUCUUUGUUUUUGUUGAUUUGCAGGGUUAUCAGAUUUGCGUUUGAGUCCAAGAUUUUUGUUGUGGAAUUUUAAGUGUACAUGUAAUUAUAUGAGAUUUGUAUUAGAUUUUGUUCUAAGUAUAUUAGAAUUUAGUUCUAGAAUUAUUUUUUUACUUGUAUCUCCAUUUAUUAUCAAUAAUAAUUGAAUUGAUUAAUUUGUUUGCCUUAAUAAAAGAAGUAUGGUAUUUGUAUCA